rnacentral:lncRNA from 1 species
AAUACCAAACAAACAAUAACUAAAUUUAAAACAAAGCAAAUUGAGUUAUAUCAUCAAAAGAUCACUUACUCAAAUUAAAGUGUAGUGUUAACAAAAAUUGACACUAUUACAAUUGUCAAAAUAAACAAAUAAGAUACUUAACAAUUUGGACAAAAUAUGUAGUCAUAACAGUUUUUCCCCUAGAUGAUUGGGCACAUAGCUUAAAACGACUCUUAGGGUCAAUUGUGUUGAUGGUUUGGGAACCCUUACCAUCUGCACCUUCUGAGGCCUGAUGCAACUUAUAUCUUGUUCAACCCAAGAUGAAUCCUAUGCACUGGUUUGAGUUCUUACAAAGACCUCGUCCACUGUGGGUAUUCUACCCAACUCUGAAGCCUUUCAUAAACAUAAAACAAGACAAACUUUAGUUUUGUGCCAAACAUUUCUUACAUAGGAAGAAAACUAGCUUUAUGCUAUUAACCAUUAUUUUAUUAAGAUCAGGCAGAUCAAAAGGAAGAAUUGAGAAGGAAGUAAGAUACAUUGCAUACAUACAAACUCAAAAGCGCCUAAGUCUUGUAUGCUACCUUAUACCAUAAAAAUAAGCAUUGAACUGCUAUUUGUGUUGAAUUUAGAUACAUGUCUGACUACAUACAUGUAAAUUAUGACCACAGGGCAUCAAUAUUAGUGCACUAGAACUAAUCAUCUAUCAAUUUGCAACAUUGAAUCCAAUUUGAUGCAUUGAAAAAGAAAUAGUACAUGAAAAACAAUACAAAAAAUGUAGACAGAUUACUAUAAAGGAAGAAAAACA